GGAAUUCCAAUUCAAACACAAGAUUCUACGGUUAUUCUUUUCCCAAGACAAUGAUGUUUACCAAAGAAACUCAGAAAACAGCAACAAUAAAAACCCCAAAAUCCAUUUUAGUACCAGGAACAUACAAAGUAUAUAUAUGCUCUUACUACCAUGAGCAAAUGAAACAUUUUUAAGAGUAAGUAAUUUAGAAUUCCAAACUAUCUUUGAAUGGAAAAUAUGCUAUAAAACUGUAGUUAGCUCUCCAGAACACACGCCCAAACCCUGUUAGAAAACAUACCACAUCAAGAACUUGUAUUGCAUGCGACAACAUAUUAAUGACAGGAUAACUAAAAACAAUUCUGAACCAGGUGUGGUGGCACAUUCGUGUAUUCCCAGCACUUGGGAAGCUGAGGCAGGAGGAUUGCUGUGAGUUCGAGACCAGCCUGGGUUACAAAGUGAACUCAGGGCCUGUCUGAAUGGCAUAGUGAGACCUCGUCUCAAAAAGACAAAAAUACACAACACAAAAAUUGAAACAAAAAAACCAAUUCCGUUCUAAUACUAGAAAUAAGAAAAAAAGAAAAGGAAUAUAUUGGUAUGGGAAUGACCAUAUAUCUUUACAGACAGAAUAUGUGCAUCCAUGAAGAUGGAACACCACUGAGGAUUAACCUAAACUAUCUCUACAAUAAAUUAUGUCAGUACCUGUACCAGCUGCUCUCAAGGCAUGUAAUGAUUAUGUACUGCACAGAUGUACUGAUGAAAAAAUAAAACUGAGGGGCUGGGGAUAUAGCUCAGUGGCAUAAACACCUGCUUGGCAAGUGCAAGGUCCUGAGUUCAAUUCCCAUAACCAAAAAAGAAAAGAAAAAGAAGAAAAGUGAGAAAAAUAUAAGAUUAAAUGAAGCCAGCCUUGACAGCGCAUGCCUGUAAUCGAGCACUCAGGAGGCUGAGGUAGGAAGAUUGCUGCGAGUUCGAGAACAGACUGGGUUACAGAGUAAGCUCAAGGCCAGUGUAAACUGCAUAGGGAGACCCUGUCUCAAAAAGAUAAAAAAAAAAAAAAAAAAAAAGAAAAUUAAAUGAAACCCCUGGGUGUGGUUGCAAACACAUGUAGUCCCAGCAUU
rnacentral:lncRNA from 1 species